CCAGUAAUAAUCCUGCAUGGAGUCAGAUGGCUGAGGGUAGUCAAUGUUUUAGAGAGACAGUUUUUCUGCUAGUAUAAAUGUGGCUCAGGAGGAAGUGGUGGAGAACCCAGAGCCCUCGCUCCCGAGGCAGAGUAGUGCUGGGAGGCUCACUGCGGUCCCCUGCCUCGCGCCCAUCCCAUUCCUUUAUGCCCACUGGUCGCAGGAAGCACAGGCUUUUCCAAGUGUCCCCUGACCCCGUCCUCCUUUACGUGUCUGUGUGCUUCUGUGUCACUUCACAUGGGUUGUCUUCUCAGUCUGUCCUUUCCCUCCCCUGGCCCCGUCUCUACCCUAUUUGUUUUCUCUUGCCCUGCUCCGCCUCUUAUAAAAUGAAAGUACUGAGUAGGCAGACCUUACCUACACCUUCCAUUUCAGCUCAUUUGAAUUUGCUUUUGAACUCUCCCGGCUGGCCCUCAAGCACAAAACCCCUGAGAUGCAUCUCCCAUAUGCUAUGUACCUGCUCCUCCUCCCUUGCUUUUAACCUGGACCUCCUCCUGUCUCCCGGCUGCCAUGAUGGCAAUCUGCUUCUGAUCGUGUGCGGCUGCCCUUCUGUCCCUACAGGGUAAAUUUGAAGAGGCCAAAGCUGAAUUCAUCAGGGCUGGUACGCCCAAGGAAGCAGUCCUCAUAUUCGUCCAUAACCAGGCCUGGGAAGCAGCUCAGCAAGUGGCCGAGGCCCACGAUCCUGACACUGUCGCCGAGGCGCUUGUGGGGCAGGCCCGGGGGGCCUUGGAGGAGAAGGACAUUCAGAAAGCAGAAGGGCUGCUGCUUCGGGCCCAGAGACCGGGCCUGCCCUUCAAUUAUUAUGAGGAGGCUGGAUUAUGGAGCGACGCUCUGUGGAUCUACAAGGACUAUGUGCGGGGUCAGCUGGAGGUUCUGAGGGAAGAGUAUGAGCGGGAGGCUACCAAGAAAGGGGCCAGGGGCAUGGAGGGGUUCGUGGACCAAGCUCGCCAGUGGGAGCAGGCUGGAGAGUAUAGCCGUGCCGUCGACUGCUACCUCAAGGUGCGGGGCUCAGGCAGCAGCAGCCUGGUGGAAAAGUGCUGGAUGAAGGCGGCAGGUACCUGCUGAGUGCUUGCUAGAUGCCAGAGCCAGAACUAUGAAAACUAUAAAAGGGGAUCUGAGGCAGAACGCCUAACAGACUGAAAUUGGGGGAAGUUGGACACCACUGUGGCUCAGCUGAUUGAGUACCUCGGUGAAGAUAAAGGAUGUGAUUUGAAGUGGAGUUCAGAG